CCCUACGGGGGGCAGCAGUGAGGAAUAUUGGUCAAUGGUCGGGAGACUGAACCAGCCAAGCCGCGUGAGGGAUGAAGGUACAGAGUAUCGUAAACCUCUUUUGUCAGGGAACAAAGGCGGGGACGCGUCCCCGGAUGAGUGUACCUGAAGAAAAAGCAUCGGCUAACUCCGUGCCAGCAGCCGCGGUAAUACGGAGGAUGCGAGCGUUAUCCGGAUUUAUUGGGUUUAAAGGGUGCGCAGGCGGUCUGUUAAGUCAGCGGUCAAAGCCCGGGGCUCAACCCCGACCCGCCGUUGAAACUGGCAGG
rnacentral:rRNA from 1 species